rnacentral:lncRNA from 1 species
GCAUCCCCUUUGUAGGUGUGAAUACAGGUGGCGCCAGUGGAGGGAGAAUCCUAGUCCAACUAUGAUUCUUUUUAAGUAUAGAUUUAAAUCUGAUUUAAAUAUAUUUUAAUUCUAACCAAUAUAGGAUUAGAUAGCACCUAAAUCAAUCUAAUUCUUAGUCUAAUUAUAAACUCAAUUAAAUCUGAAUUGAAUCCUAAUCUAAUUAGAAAAUUGAUUCAAUCAAGUCCUAGUCAAAGUAGGAAUUGUUC